rnacentral:lncRNA from 1 species
UGGUUCCUCAUGUAUAAAACUUUGAAGGCUUUCAUGGUAGUCCACUUUUGUGGUCAGGACUUCUUUCAGUAUGGACCUUCUGAUUAGUCUCUAGUUGGAGGUGCUAAUCCAUUAUUCCUUUUUGCUUCAGUCUCAUUAGAAGAGGGCACCAGACUGCUUUUCAAUGUAGAAGCAAGAGGCAGCAUAGGAAGGAAAGGGGGAGGCAACACUUUCUGAGAGCCUUGCUUCAUGUCAGAAGCUGCCACUACACAAAGCUCUAUUUUAUCAAUUUGGAAUGAAAUCUCAGAAAGAUCAAAUGAGAAAAUCAAAGCCCGUAUCAUCUGCUUCACGUCCCGCAUUUACUUAACGCUACCAGGCCUUCUUUUUCUUGAAGUGCUCUUUGAGCCUAUGUGGUUCCAGCAUGAGUCUCCUUGGGGGAUAUGUUAGGGGAUGCUGUCAGAACAACUACUUCUUGAGAAGUCCAAGGAACCGGCAGAAACCUUUACCAAAAAGAUGAUCAACUCAGAUACUGCUGCAGUGCAAAAGGACAGGCAAGGAGAAAGUUCUCCCUCUCUUUCCACGGUCUCCCUCUCAUGCGGAGCCAAAGCUGGACUGUACUGCUGCCAUCUCGGCUCACUGCAACCUCCCUGCCUGAUUCUCCUGCCUCAGCCUGCCGAGUGCCUGCGAUUGCAGGCACGCGCCGCCACGCCUGACUGGUUUUGGUGGAGACGGGGUUUUGCUGUGUUGGCCGGGCCAGUCUCCAGCCCCUAACCGCGAGUGAUCUGCCAGCCUCGGCCUCCCGAGGUGCCGGGAUUGCAGACGGAGUCUCAUUCACUCAGUGCUCAAUGGUGCCCAGGCUGGAGUGCAGUGGCCUGAUCUCAGCUCGCUACAACCUACACCUCCCAGCCGCCUGCCUUGGCCUCCCAAAGUGCCGAGAUUGCAGCCUCUGCCCGGCCGCCACCCCGUCUGGGAAGUGAGGAGUGUCUCUGCCUGGCCAACCAUCGUCUGGGAUGUGAGGAGCCCCUCUGCCUGGCUGCCCAGUCUGGAAAGUGAGGAGCGUCUCUGCCCGGCCGCCAUCCCAUCUAGGAAGUGAGGAGCACCUCUUCCCGGCCGUCAUCACAUCUAGGAAGUGAGGAGCGUCUCUGCCCGGCCGCCCAUCGUCUGAGAUGUGGGGAGCGCCUCUGCCCCACUGCCCCGUCUGGGAUGUGAGGAGCGCCUCUGCCCGGCCACGACCCCGUCUGGGAGGUGAGGAGCGUCUCUGCCCGGCCGCCCCAUCUGAGAAGUGAGGAGACCCUCUGCCUGGCAACCACCCCGUCUGAGAAGUGAGGAGCCCCUCCGCCCGGCAGCUGCCCCGUCUGAGAAGUGAGGAGCCUCUCCGCCCGGCAGCCACCCCAUCUGGGAAGUGAGGAGCGUCUCCGCCUGGCCAGCCGCCCUGUCCGGGAGGGAGGUGGGGGGGUCAGCCCCCCGCCCGGCCAGCCGCCCCGUCUGGGAGGUGAGGGGCACCUCUGCCCGGCCACCCCUACUGGGAAGUGAAGAGCCCCUCUGCCCAGCAAGACGCCCCGUCCGGGAGGGAGGUGGGGGGGUCAGCCCCCUGCCCGGCCAGCUGCCCCAUCCGGGAGGGAGGUGGGGGGGUCAGCCCCCCACCCGGCCAGCCGCCCUGUCCAGGAGGGAGGUGGGGGGGUCAGCCCCCCGCCCGGCCAGCCGCCCCAUCCGGGAGGUGAGGGGUGCCUCUGCCCGGCCGCCCCUACUGGGAAGUGAGGAGCCCCUCUGCCCGGCCAGCCGCCCUGUCCGGGAGGGAGGUGGGGGGUCAGCCCCCCGCCCGGCCAGCCGCCCCGUCCGGGAGGUGAGGGGCGCCUCUGCCCGGCCGCCCCUACUGGGAAGUGAGGAGCCCCUCUGCCCAGCCACCACCCCGUCUGGGAGGUGUGCCCAACAGCUCAUUGAGAACGGGCCAGGAUGACAAUGGCGGCUUUGUGGAAUAGAAAGGCAGGAAAGGUGGGGAAAAGAUUGAGAAAUCGG